rnacentral:rRNA from 1 species
AACGAACGCUGGCGGCAUGCCUAACACAUGCAAGUCGAACGAGACCUUCGGGUCUAGUGGCGCACGGGUGCGUAACGCGUGGGAACCUGCCCUUAGGUUCGGAAUAACUCCCCGAAAGGGGUGCUAAUACCGGAUAAUGUCUUCGGACCAAAGAUUUAUCGUCUUUGGAUGGGCCCGCGUUCGUUUAGCUAGUUGGUAGGGUAAAAGCCUACCAAGGCGACGAUCCAUAGCUGGUCUGAGAGGAUGAUCAGCCACACUGGGACUGAGACACGGCCCAGACUCCUACGGGAGGCAGCGGUGGGGAAUAUUGGACAAUGGGCGAGAGCCUGAUCCAGCAAUGCCGCGUGAGUGAUGAAGGCCUUAGGGUUGUAAAGCUCUUUUACCCGGGAUGAUAAUGACAGUACCGGGAGAAUAAGCUCCGGCUAACUCCGUG